AUGUGUGCGUAUAUGCAUGUGUGUGGGGGUAUAUAUAUAUAUAUAUAUAUAUGUAUGUGUGUGUGUGCGUAUGUGCGUAUAU